GCCUAAAGCGUCCGUAGCCGGCUAUGUUAGUUUUCGGUUAAAUCCAUGUGCUUAACACAUGGGCUGCCGAAAAUACUGUAUAGCUAGGGAGUGGGAGAGGUAGACGGUACUCAGGAGGAAGGGGUAAAAUCCUUUGAUCUCUUGAUGACCACCAGUGGCGAAGGCGGUCUACCAGAACACGUCCGACGGUGAGGGAUGAAAGCUGGGGGAGCAAACCGGAUUAGAUACCCGGGUAGUCCCAGCUGUAAACUAUGCAAACUCAGUGAUGCAUUGGCUUGUGGCCAGUGCAGUGCCGCAGAGAAGUCGUUAAGUUUGCCGCCUGGGAAGUACGUACGCAAGUAUGAAACUUAAAGGAAUUGGCGGGGGAGCACCACAAGGGGUGAAGCCUGCGGUUCAAUUGGAGUCAACGCCAGAAAUCUUACCCGGAGAGACAGCAGAAUGAAGGUCAAGCUGAAGACUUUACCAGACAAGCUGAGAAGUGGUGCAUGGCCGUCGCCAGCUCGUGCCGUGAGAUGUCCUGUUAAGUCAGGUAACGAGCGAGAUCCCUGCCUCUAGUUGCCACCAUUACUCUCAGGAGUAGUGGGGCGAAUUAGCGGGACCGCCGCAGUUAAUGCGGAGGAAGGAAGGGGCCACGGCAGGUCAGUAUGCCCCGAA
rnacentral:rRNA from 1 species